UACGGGGGGAGCAAGCGUUGUUCGGAUUUACUGGGCGUAAAGGGCGCGUAGGCGGCCACUGCAAGUCAGUUGUGAAAUCUCCGGGCUUAACCCGGAAAGGUCAACUGAUACUGCAGGGCUAGAGUGCAGAAGGGGCAACUGGAAUUCUCGGUGUAGCGGUGAAAUGCGUAGAUAUCGAGAGGAACACCUGCGGCGAAGGCGGGUUGCUGGGCUGGCACUGACGCUGAUGUGCGAAAGCUAGGGGAGCGAACGGG
rnacentral:rRNA from 1 species